rnacentral:rRNA from 1 species
UACGUAGGGUGCGAGCGUUGUCCGGAAUUACUGGGCGUAAAGAGCUCGUAGGUGGUUUGUCGCGUUGUUCGUGAAAACUCACAACUCAAUUGUGGGCGUGCGGGCGAUACGGGCAGACUGGAGUACUGCAGGGGAGACUGGAAUUCCUGGUGUAGCGGUGGAAUGCGCAGAUAUCAGGAGGAACACCGGUGGCGAAGGCGGGUCUCUGGGCCGGUACUGACGCUGAGGAGCGAAAGCGUGGGGAGCAAACAGG